rnacentral:rRNA from 1 species
UACUCCGCCGGCGACCGGCGCACGGGUGCGUAACGCGUAUGCAACCUACCUUUAACAGGGGCAUAACACUGAGAAAUUGGUACUAAUUCCCCAUAACAUUCGAGAAGGCAUCUUCUUGGGUUAAAAACUCCGGUGGUUAAAGAUGGGCAUGCGUUGUAUUAGCUAGUUGGUGAGGUAACGGCUCACCAAGGCAACGAUACAUAGGGGGACUGAGAGGUUAACCCCCCACAUUGGAACUGAGACACGGCCAA